rnacentral:rRNA from 1 species
GCUUACGGCCAUACCACCCUGAACACGCCCGAUCUCGUCCGAUCUCGGAAGCUAAGCAGGUCGGCCUGGUUAGUACUUGGAUGGAGACCGCCUGGGAAUACCAGGUGCUGUAAGCU